rnacentral:lncRNA from 1 species
UCGAAUAAUUCUUCCCAUGAUAGAAUCACUAACAGAUUGUUGGAGAAGAUAAAGAGCUUUAGCAUUUUGUUGCUUUAAUUUCUUACGUACCUCGGAUGAGGAUGUCUUGUCGAUAUCUUCUCCCGGCAUGGUGAUUCCUUCUUCAAUGACAUCCCAAAGAUCAUGGGAUUCAAGGCAAGUCUUCAUACGAACACUCCAAUAGUCAUAGUUUUCUCCAUUGAAUAUUGGAGUCGUGAUGGAGAGACUUGACGACGCCAUAACGCCCGCUUAUGAUCGAACAAGCUCUGAUGCCACUUGUUAGAAAAUGGAGGUGAUUAUAUAGUGGUUUGAGUGUGGUGAGUGAUUGUAGUGAAGUGGUGUAGAGAAUAUUGUGAGUGUAUUGUGUGUAGAAGAUAGAGAGAAUGAUUUUAGAGUGGAGCUCUUGUCUCCAAAGAACUUAGAUAUUAUUAGAUAGAGUGAUGUUUUUAAGAUGUUUGAGAUUGUUGAGAUUGGUUACAAAUGGCUCACAAGAGCUCUAUUUAUAGGUGUGGGAAGAUCUUUCUAGAUCCCACUACACUAACUUGUAUCUAGAAUUCUCUACUAACAUCCACUUAAGGAAUUCUCUAGAUACUAUAUAGAAAAUAUCUAAUCUCUAGAAUACUCAUUCUUGUCCUAGUAUUAUUUAGAAUACUCUAGAUUAAUCUAGCUAGUGGUGAAUUCUCUAGAAUAUUCAUAGCUUAUUCUCACCUAGAAUAUUCUAGAUAAAUGCAUCACACUUCAAU